rnacentral:rRNA from 1 species
AAUGAACGCUGGCGGCAGGCCUAAAACAUGCAAGUCGAACGCCCUAGCAAUAGGGAGUGGCGCACGGGUGAGUAACACGUGGGAAUAUGCCUUUUGGUACGGAACAACGUCUGGAAACGGACGCUAAUGCCGUAUGGUCCCUUCGGGGUAAAGAUUUAUCGCCAAAAGAUUAGCCCGCGUCUGAUUAGCUAGUUGGUGAGGUAAUGGCUCACCAAGGCGACGAUCAGUAGCUGGUCUGAGAGGACGAUCAGCCACACUGGGACUGAGACACGGCCCAGACUCCUACGGGAGGCAGCAGUUAGGAAUAUUGGACAAUGGACGCAAGUCUGAUCCAGCCGUGCCGCGUGAGUGAUGAAGGCCUUCGGGUUGUAAGGCUCUUUAGUCCACGAUUAUAAUGACUGUAGUGGAAGAAUAAGCCCCGGCUAACUUCGUGCCAGCAGCCGCAGUAAUAC